ACAGAGGGUGCAAGCGUUAAUCGGAAUUACUGGGCGUAAAGCGUGCGUAGGUGGUUUGUUAAGUCAGGUGUGAAAUCCUCGGGCUCAACCCGGGAACUGCGCUUGAUACUGACAGACUCGAGUGUGGUAGAGGAUAGUGGAAUUCCCGGUGUAGCGGUGAAAUGCGUAGAUAUCGGGAGGAACAUCAGUGGCGAAGGCGGCUAUCUGGACCAACACUGACACUGAGGUACGAAAGCGUGGGUAGCAAACAGGAUUAGAUACCCUGGUAGUCCACGCCCUAAACGAUGGGUACUAGACGUCGGGAAGCUUGUCUUCUUGGUGUCGCAGCUAACGCAAUAAGUACCCCGCCUGGGGAGUACGGUCGCAAGAUUA
rnacentral:rRNA from 1 species